rnacentral:pre_miRNA from 1 species
ACAUGUCAUGUUGUUAUUGGAUGAUGACGGUAACAUUUUAUAGUAUGAUUGAAUGUCAACUUCAUGAAAGAUAAUUUUUUUCAUUGACCAAUCAAAACAUAACAUGUGACAGUCAUCAUCCAAUAACAACGUGACAUGU